GUGGGGAAUAUUGGACAAUGGGCGAAAGCCUGAUCCAGCCAUGCCGCGUGUGUGAAGAAGGUCUUCGGAUUGUAAAGCACUUUAAGUUGGGAGGAAGGGCAGUAAGUUAAUACCUUGCUGUUUUGACGUUACCGACAGAAUAAGCACCGGCUAACUUCGUGCCAGCAGCCGCGGUAAUACGAAGGGUGCAAGCGUUAAUCGGAAUUACUGGGCGUAAAGCGCGCGUAGGUGGUUUUGUAAGUUGGAGGUGAAAUCCCCGGGCUCAACCAGGGAACUGCCUCCAAAACUGCAUGACUAGAGUACGGUAGAGGGUAGUGGAAUUUCCUGUGUAGCGGUGAAAUGCGUAGAUAUAGGAAGGAACACCAGUGGCGAAGGCGACUACCUGGACUGAUACUGACACUGAGGUGCGAAAGCGUGGGGAGCAAACAGGAUUAGAAACCCUGGUAGUCC
rnacentral:rRNA from 1 species